UACGGGAGGCAGCAGUGGGGAAUAUUGCACAAUGGGCGAAAGCCUGAUGCAGCUAUGCCGCGUGUAUGAAGAAGGCCUUAGGGUUGUAAAGUACUUUCAUCGGGGAGGAAAAAACAAAACUAAUAAUUUUAUUUCUUGACGUUACCCGAAAAAGAAGCACCGGCUAACUCCGUGCCAGCAGCCGCGGUAAUACGGAGGGUGCUAGCGUUAAUCAGAAUUACUGGGCGUAAAGAGCACGUAGGGUGGUUUUUUUAAAGUCAGAUGUGAAAUCCCUGGGCUUAACCUGGAACUGCAUUUUGAAACUGAAAUACUAGAGUAUCGUAGAGGGAGGUAGAAUUCUAGGUGUAGCGGUGAAAUGCGUAGAUAUCUGGAGGAAUACCUGUGGCGAAAGCGGCCUCCUAAACGAAUACUGACACUGAGGUGCGAAAGCGUGGGGAGCAAACAGGGAUUAGAUACC
rnacentral:rRNA from 1 species